CCGUGGCGGGGGUGCCUAUACAUGCAAGUAGAACGCUGAAGAGAGGAGCUUGCUCUUCUUGGAUGAGUUGCGAACGGGUGAGUAACGCGUAGGUAACCUGCCUUGUAGCGGGGGAUAACUAUUGGAAACGAUAGCUAAUACCGCAUAACAAUGGAUGACCCAUGUCAUUUAUUUGAAAGGGGCAAAUGCUCCACUACAAGAUGGACCUGCGUUGUAUUAGCUAGUAGGUGAGGUAACGGCUCACCUAGGCGACGAUACAUAGCCGACCUGAGAGGGUGAUCGGCCACACUGGGACUGAGACACGGCCCAGACUCCUACGGGAGGCAGCAGUAGGGAAUCUUCGGCAAUGGGGGCAACCCUGACCGAGCAACGCCGCGUGAGUGAAGAAGGUUUUCGGAUCGUAAAGCUCUGUUGUAAGUCAAGAACGAGUGUGAGAGUGGAAAGUUCACACUGUGACGGUAGCUUACCAGAAAGGGACGGCUAACUACGUGCCAGCAGCCGCGGUAAUACGUAGGUCCCGAGCGUUGUCCGGAUUUAUUGGGCGUAAAGCGAGCGCAGGCGGUUUGAUAAGUCUGAAGUUAAAGGCUGUGGCUCAACCAUAGUUCGCUUUGGAAACUGUCAAACUUGAGUGCAGAAGGGGAGAGUGGAAUUCCAUGUGUAGCGGUGAAAUGCGUAGAUAUAUGGAGGAACACCGGUGGCGAAAGCGGCUCUCUGGUCUGUAACUGACGCUGAGGCUCGAAAGCGUGGGGAGCGAACAGGAUUAGAUACCCUGGUAGUCCACGCCGUAAACGAUGAGUGCUAGGUGUUGGAUCCUUUCCGGGAUUCAGUGCCGCAGCUAACGCAUUAAGCACUCCGCCUGGGGAGUACGACCGCAAGGUUGAAACUCAAAGGAAUUGACGGGGGCCCGCACAAGCGGUGGAGCAUGUGGUUUAAUUCGAAGCAACGCGAAGAACCUUACCAGGUCUUGACAUCCCGAUGCUAUUUCUAGAGAUAGAAAGUUACUUCGGUACAUCGGUGACAGGUGGUGCAUGGUUGUCGUCAGCUCGUGUCGUGAGAUGUUGGGUUAAGUCCCGCAACGAGCGCAACCCCUAUUGUUAGUUGCCAUCAUUCAGUUGGGCACUCUAGCGAGACUGCCGGUAAUAAACCGGAGGAAGGUGGGGAUGACGUCAAAUCAUCAUGCCCCUUAUGACCUGGGCUACACACGUGCUACAAUGGUUGGUACAACGAGUUGCGAGUCGGUGACGGCAAGCUAAUCUCUUAAAGCCAAUCUCAGUUCGGAUUGUAGGCUGCAACUCGCCUACAUGAAGUCGGAAUCGCUAGUAAUCGCGGAUCAGCACGCCGCGGUGAAUACGUUCCCGGGCCUUGUACACACCGCCCGUCACACCACGAGAGUUUGUAACACCCGAAGUCGGUGAGGUAACCUUUUGGAGCCAGCCCGCCUAAAGGGUGGAAAUGGUGC
rnacentral:rRNA from 1 species